AUGUGUGUUGAUUGUAGAGGCAUUAAUAAUAUUACUAUUCGUUAUCGUCAUCCUAUUCCUAGGCUAGAUGAUAUGCUUGAUGAAUUGAGUGGCUCUACAAUAUACUCCAAAGUUGAUUUGCGUAGUGGAUACCAUCAAAUUCGUAUGAAAUUGGGAGAUGAAUGGAAAACAGCAUUUAAAACUAAGUUUGGUUUAUAUGAGUGGUUAGUCAUGCCUUUUGGGUUAACUAAUGCACCUAGUAUUUUCAUGAGACUAAUGAACGAAGUUUUACGUGCUUUCAUUGGACGAUUUGUGGUAGUCUAUUUUGAUGGUAUACUGAUUUAUAGCAAAUCUUUGGAAGAACAUUUGGAACAUUUACGUGUUGUUUUUAUUGCUCUACAUGAUGCACGUUUGUUUGGUAACCUUGGGAAGUGCACCUUUUGCACCGACCGAGUAUCUUUUCUUGGCUAUGUUGUUACUCCACGGGGAAUUGAAGUUGAUAAAGCCAAGAUUGAAGCUAUUGAGAGUUGGCCGCAACCCAAAACGGUCACACAAGUGCGGAGUUUUCUUGGACUCGCUGGUUUCUAUAGGCGUUUUGUGAGAGAUUUUAGCACCAUUGCUGCACCUCUCAACGAGCUUACAAAGAAGGAUGUGCCUUUUAUUCGGGGUACCGCAUAG
rnacentral:rRNA from 1 species